GAAUACAAAAAUAAUGCCGUGUAUCACCAGCACCCAUGGUGUAAUACAUAUUAUUUCGUUUAAUGCGGACACCACAAGUUGUGCAGUAAAUAGGUGGGGGUUCAAAAGUAAGCUUCUCAACAGCACACAAUUGACAGGAGUUCUCACUCAUUGAAUGCUCCAUUGCUUGAUUCUUCUCUACUUUUGAUUUGCUCUGUUAAAGGAAAACAAGAGUACAAAAACAUCAUAGUAAAUAAUGCUCAAUCAUAAAUCAUAAGGCUCAAUCAACAUUAAUCCCACUAGGCGGGUUCAGCUACAUGGAUAGAACAACACCAUAAUGUUCAAUCAUAAAUCAUGUUCAUUGACAAAUCAUUGAUCUCUAAAUUUUUCCUAAUCAUUUUGCCUAUACUUUUGUUGGCCUCUCUCUUCCUCUAAAAAUUGGAGUAACAUCCAUUUGAUCUACUCUCCUUACUGGGGCUUCUAACAAUCUCCUCUACACAUGUCUAAAGCAACUACGGUGUGAUUCUACCAUCUUUUCUAUAAUAGGAGUUACUCCAGCUUUUUCCCUAAUGCUCAUCAUGGCAAAAUUUGGAUACAGAGAUAAUUAGAGAAAUCUUAUGCAUGUUAAAUAGCAAAUGAACAAGUAACCUUAGCUAAUUCCAACCUUAAAAAUUAUUUAUAAACCUCAGCUUUAGGAGAGAUAUCAUAUCAUAUGAUGACUGAUAUUGUUAAAUAAAUGGGACAACGAGAAAUAUUUUUUAGAAAUGUAUAGCAUUUAAGAGCAUUACAUUUGGGCUUAACAUUUAUCAUAACAUUUAGAAGGAACAUAUAAACAGUGUUUUAUGAAGCUAAGUGCAUUAAAAAAAUGAAGCUUCUACAAGAAGCGUGUCAGUAAUGUGAACAUAGCAUGAGAUGGAGUCAAAUGAAGAAAUACAAGGGAGAUAUCAUUUAUCAUACAUAUACAUCAAAAACCAAAGUUAACUAGAUACUAAAAAUAGUCAAAGACAGCCAGGGCAUUUAAAGUAAGUAAUGUGAUAACAUAAGAAACAUGGUGCAAAAUCUUGUCCCAAUGAUACAUUUGGAGUGGACUUUUAUGGUAUGUUUGGUGACUUUUGGGAUGACAUCAAAGAUUUUAGUAUUUUCACUUAAUUAUGCUCAUAGGCUUUGGUCGGAGAAAAGAGAGCAUAUUGAUGUGGAAGUGUACUUUGUAUGUUGUUCUUUGGUGCCUAUAGCUGGACUAAAAUGCCUUAAUCUUUAAAGGAAAAUCUCUGUUCCAAUGAUUGAUAAGGCAUAGAAUUGUUAUCAGUCUCCCCAUUUUGCUCAGCACAAGCUUUCUUUCAAAUAAUCUCAUUGGCAGAGUUGAAUAGGAAAUGGAGUUACACUUUAACUUUUCUUUGUACUCAUUAUAAUGUUUUUAUAAUAUUUUAUGAAUUAAAAAGAAAGGCUAAUGUCAUGAUGCCAAACACCAUAUUCUAUUUGUCAUAAGAGGACAGUACAUGAUCCAUUUUGUUUGCUAUCUCGUUUUUAAAGUUCAGUUAGAGCAUCAGAAUUCAAUGCCAUUAAUGAAUUGAAUAAAGUUCAAUUGUUUUUAUACCACAAUGGAACUGGUAUGUACUUCAGAUGCUUUCAACUAUUAAACCAGAUAUUGUUUUUCCUAUGAAAGAAAUAUGAGUAUAGGACGACUUACUUGGCCAACCCACUGCCUGAGGCCAGUGAUAUGUUCCCUGACUUGCUCUGGAGUAAAUAAUUCUGUAAGUGAGACCCCCUUUACUUUUGGCUUGCCUGAUUUGGUUCCAGCUGCAUUUUCAGAAGGCUGUAUCACAUUUUCUUGUUUUCCUUGUCCCGUCUCCUUCUCAGUUUUAGUGCUUUCUGUCCUAGCUAAAUUAUCAGGUUCAUCAUAUUUGACACGUUCACCACCGGGCAUUUUAUCAUCUGCAUUAUUGUUAUCUAUUUCCAUUUCACUAAGCUUUUCAUGUACCAAAUGUGCUGGAACUUCUGCCUUAGCUUCCGUAAGUUCAGGUUUAAUUGAGAUAGGCAUCUCAACACUGGGAUAGGCUUGGUUCUGAGCAUCCCUGGCAAGAUGUGAUUCACAAUUUGCAGAAACAGAUGAAGCACAGUUGUCAUUUUCAGGAUUAAUGGACUGCAUGAUGUGCUCAGUCUUUAUGCGUUUUAGAGAUGGAUGCGGGUAUUCUGAAGUUUCCACAACUAGUGGAGGCUUUGAGAUCAAUCUUGGCGAUGAACUUACAAUAUUGUAUGAUUUACAGGAUCCAUUUACUGCAAUUGGCAAACUUGAUUCAGCUUCUGGCCGAAUCUGAUGCUUGAGUUGAAAUGCACGUCGAUAAUUUCUUACAAAAACACAAACGGGGCAACAUGGAUCCUUGCAGUUUAUGAAAUGAUGAAGCAAUACUCUAGUAUGAUGACAACGAGGAUAUGGACAAUGGCGCAGGGUGCAUCCAUCUAUGUGCUUACAUAACUUUUGCGCAAGAGAACAAAAGCGUUCUUGGCAUUGUCCUUCGGGAGCAGAACAUCGUCGAGCAUGGAGUAGAAAUAAAAGCCAUCUCUGUUGAUUUUUGUGCGCCUUUUUGAUAGCACUGAGCCCCAGGCCAGUAGUCUCCAUCAAAAUAUGGAAGUCUUGCAGCUGUAACCUUAGCCCUACAUUCCCCGGUAGAUACAAAGAAAUGAUCGUAUAAGUUGGUUAGAUCAACCACAACAUUCUCCUUGGCAGCUUUUCUUAACAUGGCCAGAUACCUGAAGAGAAAUGAACACAGAAGAAACCAAAUUUAGAGAUGAAGAAACCUACCAUCUUGUACAGGUAAAAUAAUUAGACAACUUCUUUCUUUUAUUUUUGCUUUUCCUCAAGCUCAUAGGCUCACCACUCCCGAAGCUUAUCAGAUUUUGGUGUUUUCUGAAUUUCCGGAUGACAAUAUAGGAUAUAGUCUUCACCCUUCAACGGAGGACAUGCCCAUAUAUAGCAGCUAGUAAAACCACGCUUCUUGCAAUAUUCAAGGUAUCCAAUCUACAAAGAAAUAGUCAGAAGUUGAAUAUCACCACAAUAGGGUUCCAAAAGGAUGUAAAGACAUGAUAAGAGCAAAAUUACUAGUGACUACAAUUUACCAGGAUUUCGUGAUAAACAAAUGUCCGGAGAGCCUCUCCAGUCACUGCUCUAACUUCAGGUCUAAAAUACUUCACAGAGUCCAGAUAUGAAAGAUACACCCGGCGCUGAUUGGGAAAUUCAGCUUCAGAUCCAAAUUCUUGAACAUACAUGCCAAAUAGGCAGACUUCCACACCUUCAAUUUUCUGAAACAACAAAACUACCUGGAAUACAAAGCUAAGGUCAUCAACAUUCAUCAUCAAUGGGGAUUCAAUUACAUCAAAUUUAAUAAAGCAGCUUCCCAAUUACCUUGGAUUUGUAUGGGAAUUCUGUUGGGUAAUUUUCUUCUUGAAAAAUCUCCAAAAACCGCUGUUUCACUUCUAACUUCUUGUCAACAGAUGAAACAACCCUUACAACAAGGAAAUCAGCUCCAGGCACCUAGUUACAUCCAAGAAAAAAUGUUUUAUAUGUCACAUGAACACAACUAAAUGCAAUUACUAGUAUACACGAAACUAGAGUGUGAGCACAGUAAGUAAGGAACUAAUAAAUAUAUAUUAAAAAAGUACACUGAAAUAAAAAUUCAAUCAAACAUAUUUUAUCCAGCCACUAGAAGAAUCACCUCAUCAUAACUUUUCCCUUGAACCCUUGCCCUCUCUUGCCUUUCUUGCCUCAGUCGUCUAAAUAAUCGUUGUUCUAUCUGGUCACUGAGAAUAGUUUUUGGCAAAUCCUUCGCUCCAAGAACAGCACUUUGGGGUAACGGUUUGCGCUCUCCUCUUUCGACCUCUUCAAUGUAGCAGUUAGGGCAAGUGUAUUCAGCUUGUCCACCAUCAUUUCUUCUACCAUUAAAUAACGCACAAAUCUGGUGUUGCCAAGCUUCACAUUUAUCACAUUGAACCCACUGCACAUAAAAAUAGAUGGUAAAUAGCAAAUCAAACAGAUGAACUGCCAAUAGAGCAGCAAAAUGACACAUGGCACGCACCCAUUCUUCAGUUUCCUCAUCAUUCUUCUUCUUUUCCAAUCUUGACUUGGGAAUGGGAGUCCCAUCAACGUUAAUGUUCUCUGAACGAGCAUCAUUAUAGCAUGGAAUACAAAAAUAAUGCCGUGUAUCACCAGCACCCAUGGUGUAAUACAUAUUAUUUCGUUUAAUGCGGACACCACAAGUUGUGCAGUAAAUAGGUGGGGGUUCAAAAGUAAGCUUCUCAACAGCACACAAUUGACAGGAGUUCUCACUCAUUGAAUGCUCCAUUGCUUGAUUCUUCUCUACUUUUGAUUUGCUCUGUUAAAGGAAA
rnacentral:lncRNA from 1 species